GUCCAUGCACCGGGAAACACCUGUAAACAAAUUAGCUGUUUAAAACCACACAGAAACACAUGUAACAUUUCGGUUUCAGGUGUUAAGUCAUAUAACCUGCGUAGUAGAUCGAGCAACCGCAUCCCCCUUGUUGUAUGUGCUUCUGCUAUUUUCUGUCCACAGACCAAAGUCCAUCC